rnacentral:lncRNA from 1 species
GUAUUUACCUGGGCCAUUGAAUGAGACCUUGGACUCCUGGUUGAGUAGAAGAGAACUAGGGAUACAUCCACUGGCCAAUCUGUAUUUCAAGGUCCAAGAGGAGACAGUAAGAGGAAACACAAUGCAUCUAACACUGAGAAGCCUGACUCCAAAGUCGGUUGGAAACCUGGAGGGCUGGGACAUGUGCAAAUCCACACCUUGAUGAGAUACACAGCUUCUGCAACUUUGUUGAAACCUGCUGCAGGUACUGCGGGGAGGACCAAAUGCCAGCAGAAUGUGGAGGACUGCGAGGAGUCACAGAUCCUUCCAUCGAGGCCCAGGGUUGUGGGAUCUGAGCAAGACUGAGCCUGACUGUUGAGGAUUAUCCACAACUGGACAUGAAUGUUGAGACCACUCUGGGCUCUAAGGAUUCCUUCCCAUCCUGCUGCUUUAGGUUAUAGGAUUACAUUGACAAGAGACUUGGAAAAACUUAACAGUGCAGGAAGCUAGCCUAUGAUUGCCCAGGAGCCAUCUGUUGGCUUCUUAGGAUGCUGGAGAAUGGAGUUUCCAUGGAGCUCCUUCAGGAAAGCCAGUGUUUGAUUUAAAGUACAGUGGUAGCUUGGGGGCAGUAAGAGGACCUGGUCCCUGCUAGGAAUCCAUGUGUUGACUCUGGGUUUCAAAUUCUUACUAUGAAUGCCAGAGACUUGAGGCAACGGCAAAGAUACUAGAUGAAGGAAAAUGGACCUUUAGGAAGUUCAAGCUACAAACCAGAAGCCCUUCGUGUCCAUUGACCAGGGAGAUGCUUGCAUCCCACUUUCAUCAUUUAUA